CGGACGGGGGAGUAAUGUCUGGGAAACUGCCUGAUGAGGGGGGUAACGUACUGGAAACGGUAGCUAAUACCGCAUAACGUCGCAAGACCAAAGAGGGGGACCUUCGGGCCUCUUGCCAUCGGAUGUGCCCAGAUGGGAUUAGCUAGUAGGUGGGGUAACGGCUCACCUAGGCGACGAUCCCUAGCUGGUCUGAGAGGAUGACCAGCCACACUGGAACUGAGACACGGUCCAG
rnacentral:rRNA from 1 species